rnacentral:ncRNA from 1 species
GCUCAGUGAGGACAGAAAUCUCACGUUGAGGAUAAGGCCAAAAGCUCAAUUUACUGUGCCUUUUUGUACUAGGAUCAGUUACGAAAGUAAGGCCUAACGAUCCCUAAAUAGCCUCAGGUGCGUGAGGAUUGGGGUGACAGACAAGUUACCUCCGGGACAACUGGCUUGUGGCUGCUAAGAGAUCAAAUCAACGCAGCUUUUUGAUUCUUCGAUGUCGGCUCUUCCUAUCCUAGUGAUGUACAAGUUGCUAAGGGUCGGAUUGUUCACCCGUAUUAGGGAUCGUGAGCUGGGUUUAGACCGUCAUGAGCCAGGUUUGUUUUAUCCUACUGGAUAUAGCAUCAUGAUAGUAGAUUGAUUUAGUACGAGAGGAACUGUUGAUUAUGGCCUCUGGUUAGCGAUUAUCGGAAA